rnacentral:lncRNA from 1 species
UAUUGGAAAUUGGCCAACCAUGCUGCUGUUACAUUUUGUGGUUGAAGUGCAUGCAGCUUGAUGACAUGCUGCAGCACAUAUGCUUGCUGUAACAGCAAGGUUUCUCUUUAGUUUCAUUCUAAUUAAUCUAGUUUAAAAUGGACAAGUUGAUGACAACUUGAUGCAUUAGGUGUUGAAUGACUAGUUUAGGUGGCUUGUUUAUGUGUACAAGCAAUGUUUUAAUAGUCCCAAUGCUGAUUAGUGGGGUUAGUUGACUAUUUGGUGAUGUAUUUGACUAUAAAUGUAUGUUUUUUCUAGUUGAAUGAAUGAGCUGAAUGAGCUAUCAGCCAUUAGCUCCCUUGCUGCACAUUUGUGAGCAAGUAAAAAUGCUUCUUGCACCUUGCUUCAUGUUCUGUGCUCUUGUUCUCUCUUUUGUUGCUGCCUCUUGCACCAACAAUUGGUAUCAUGAGCCUAUGUCUUACGGGACCAUUGAUUUUGCUUCCCCUGCUUGUUGAAAAGAAAGAAGCUGUCAAAGCACAAGCAAGUCAUUAAGGACUGCUUGUAGAGAAGAUAAUAUCGGCUCAAACUUAUAAGAUCCCCAAACUAGCUUGAAUAAGCUAAAGGAGGAGUUUAAAGGAAAGGUGUGAGCUUUCCAAAUGUGCAAGCUUAGCAAGAUGUCAAAGCUGCAAGCUUAGCAAAGUGCGAGCCUGAUGAAGACACCUGUUGAAGACAAUAUGCAAAGAUGUGAGUCUGUCAAAGGUGUGAGCUCAGCAACAUGUGGAAGCUCAAUGCUUGUUGUAUAGUUGCAAGCCUCUUGAAGACAGUAAGCAAAGUGUGAGCCUGUCGAAUUGCAAGCCAAAAUGGCAGAAUGAAGGCAAGCAACUAUACUCACGAACUGUUUGUGCAAGAAGAAAAUGAAUUGGUCAGCUUGAAUCAAAGCAUCUAAGAGCUGCCAAGUUCAAAAAACUUGAUGAAUGACUGGUAUUUGCAGCAUGGAGUCCAAGGAGGAAUAUUGGAAAUUGGCCAACCAUGCUGCUGUUACAUUUUGUGGUUGAAGUGCAUGCAGCUUGAUGACAUGCUGCAGCACAUAUGCUUGCUGUAACAGCAAGGUUUCUCUUUAGUUUCAUUCUAAUUAAUCUAGUUUAAAAUGGACAAGUUGAUGACAACUUGAUGCAUUAGGUGUUGAAUGACUAGUUUAGGUGGCUUGUUUAUGUGUACAAGCAAUGUUUUAAUAGUCCCAAUGCUGAUUAGUGGGGUUAGUUGACUAUUUGGUGAUGUAUUUGACUAUAAAUGUAUGUUUUUUCUAGUUGAAUGAAUGAGCUGAAUGAGCUAUCAGCCAUUAGCUCCCUUGCUGCACAUUUGUGAGCAAGUAAAAAUGCUUCUUGCACCUUGCUUCAUGUUCUGUGCUCUUGUUCUCUCUUUUGUUGCUGCCUCUUGCACCAACACAGACCAAGCUAUCGAGCCAUGCAGAUGCAACAGAAGCUCAUGCUGCUGAUUCAUUUUGGUUACUUCAAAUGUUUGUUUUGUUACUUAGUUUGAUUUGAACUAAGUUGUCAAUGUACUUGAUAUAAUUGGGUAAUGUUUGAGCUGAUAAAUCAGCUUUGUAAAGUGUACAAGUUAAGUUUAACAAGUUUCAAUGUUCUUAGUGGUAGUAGGUAGUGUUUAGGUAAUCAUUUUGCUUCACUUUGACCAGCUUAUGUCUGGUAUAUGUAUUGGCAUUAUGCCAUUUUUAUGUUAAUGAAAAAU